AGAGGACACUCCCACCAAGGGGAGGGGGGAGGGGGGGAAUUGUGCUGUGUCAGACCUCACUGCAGACACGAUCUCGCCGCGCCUUCUUCCUCCCACCCCCGCAUCCACUCUCACAGUCUACCUCAUCUGCUGCUCCCCUACUCUUUACGCCAUCGGGGCGGCGAGGAGUUAAAGGAGCUCUUACGUACGGGUACCGAGCGAUAGACGCCGAGGACGGCUCCCGGUCUCCCGGUUCCCAGAGCUACCGUCUCCACGGCAGCGAUGACCCCGGCGCCCCGUGCCCUCCUGUGGCGGGCACUUGGAACGCGCAGCGGGUUUUUUCCCGUGGCGCGAGGGUUCGAUCAGUGCCCGUCUGUUCCCAUCUGCGACUCGGGGCCGCCCUCUGCCCACACUCUGGCAACGGCAGGCCUGGCAGCGGGUGAAUUACAUUUUUGAGUUUGUUGUGUAAGGGUGCCGCUGGCCUCCAUACCGCUGCCCAGAGCGUGUGUUAUGUAAAUGAGCUCUGCAGUGCUAAACCUAGAAGCUAACCCGUUCACAGACUACAAACCACCACUUAUAACCUUGAGAUAACCUUGACUCUGAUUAAUACAGGAAAAUAAACAUUCAUAAGUCUAAUUAAAUCAUUUCAAUGUUACAAAAACCUAAACAACUGUAAUCAACAACAAACGAAAACAACGUUGAACCUAAAGUAUGUUUAAGUUAGCAUUAACUGAAUUCCCUGAAAUAUUGAUUAGAGAUACAGCAUGUUGCAGUGACAAAGCAUGUAAAAAUCAAUAACCUGGUGAACAUUAUAUUGCACACAAAAGGCCUGGGAUCCAGUAACCAUGAAAUAAAACACUGAUAUGUAU